UUAAUGAUAUUCUUCUUUAUUCGUAACUUAUACGUGGAAAAUCUUAUAUUCGAUUAUCAUUACAUGUGAAUUUGAAUUAUAUUACAUCUAGCCAUUAUUAUUAUUAUCAAAACAUGUUCUAUCUCAUCUCACAUACCAAACGUACUUUUGAUGGUAGAUAAUAUCAUUUAUUCCAACAACUUAAAAAAAAAAAAAAAAAAGGAAAAGAAUUAAGAUGUAAAAAAUGGGAGAAACCAUUUUCUUUCCUCCUCCCUCCUCUUUUGGGCUGCAACAGGAGCCCCAUUAAACAGCAAGCCGACGACUGCCGAUUGCCGACGCAACAGCUCUGUCGUCUACGGGUCACCAAAGGCUCUCAAACUACACAUCCAGAAUGCUCUUGCCGUCCUUUAUCCAAUCCCCAAGUUAGUUUCUAUAAAUUCGUAGGCGAUUUUCCUCAACUUCAAAUUUAAGAAAUGGUGACCCAGGGUUUUCCGGCCAACUUCCGGCCAAUAUCGCCGGAAUUUGACCUCGACCCAAGAGGUAGAAAUGAUCCUCUUCUCGUGGGCUGUUCUCCAAUUAGAUGUUUAAGACUUAAUGUGGAGGAAAUUCUCUCUUGAAGUUGCUUGAACUUACCUAUUUGGUAGACAAGGCUACUCAAGGGAGAGCUAGCCUGAGGUGAGACAUGCUAACUGAAAAGGGUUAUUCCAAUAUUAUUGUGGAAUCUGAUAAAGGUUUCUUGAGGCAGUUGCUGAUCCGAAAAGCUUCUUCCAUCUUAACUGCUAUUGGGUGUAGGACUUUUAUUGGAAGAAAGGAUAAAAGAAAGGAAGUAAUAUUUGAUUAAGGAUAUAAGAAAGGAAGUAAUAUUUGAUUAUUCCGGAUUACUUAUGGUUAAGUAUAGCAAUAAUUUUUGGGAAUAUCAAUCCUAUUAGUUCAUGGAUUUUAGAGGUGCUAAAGAUCUGUAUUAGGGUUUUCUUUAUGGGCGAGAAACCUAAUACUCUCACCUAUAAAUAUAAGGCUUAGGUCCCACUUUUAUACACAUUAUUCUAGCACAAAACACUACCCCAUAUAGGAGUGCAUAAGGCGUGUAGAGAGAGAUGAAGAUCUUUGCUUGUUCGUUGCUGAUCAUGGUUCAAUCUUGUUCAUAUCAAUGGCUUCUCAAGGUUAGUACUUGCAUAUCA